CCUACGGGAGGCAGCAGUGAGGAAUAUUGGUCAAUGGGCGCGAGCCUGAACCAGCCAAGUCGCGUGAGGGAAGACGGUCCUAUGGAUUGUAAACCUCUUUUGUCGGGGAGCAAAAGACGCCACGCGUGGCGUUCCGAGAGUACCCGAAGAAAAAGCAUCGUCUAACUCCGUGCCAGCAGCCGCGGUAAUACGGAGGAUGCGAGCGUUGUCCGGAUUUAUUGGGUUUAAGGGGUGCGAAGGCGGAAGAUCAAGUCAGCGGUAAAAUUGAGAGGCUCAACCUCUUCGAGCCGUUGAAACUGGUUGUCUUGAGUGAGUGAGAAGUAUGCGGAAUGCGUGGUGUAGCGGUGAAAUGCAUAGAUAUCACGCAGAACUCCGAUUGCGAAGGCAGCAUACCGGCGCUCAACUGACGCUCAUGCACGAAAGUGUGGGUAUCGAACAGGAUUAGAUACCCGAGUAGUC
rnacentral:rRNA from 1 species